rnacentral:rRNA from 1 species
GAUGAACGCUGGCGGCGCGCCUAACACAUGCAAGUCGAACGGCACCCCUCCUCGGAGGGAAGCGAGUGGCGAACGGCUGAGUAACCCGUGGCGAACCUGCCGCCUCCCCCGGGGUAGCCGCCCGAAAGGCCGGAUAAUACCGGAUACCCCGGGGUGCCGCAUGGAACCCCCGCCAAAGGUCCGACGGGAGGGGUUGGCUCCGCGGCCCAUCAGGGAGCCGGCGGGGUGAGGGGCCACCGGGGCGACAACGGCCAGCCGGGUUGGGAGACCGACCGGCCAAAUUGGGACUGAGACACCGCCCAGGCUCCUACGGGGAGGAGCAGUGGGGGAACUUGCGAAAAGGGGGGAACCCUGGCGCAGCGCCGCCGGGUGCGGGGAGGAGGCCUUCGGGGCGGAAACGGCUUUCAGCAGGGGAGAGUCAAGACGGUACCUGCAGAAGAAGCCCCGGCUAACUACGUG